rnacentral:lncRNA from 1 species
GGAUUAAGUCGCAGAAGUCAGGAUUCUGGACCUUAAACUCAUUGUGUUUUCCAGGUGGUACCACUGUGCUGGUAGUGGUGCCAGGGCUCCUUGGCAUCUCAACAUGGUGAAGGGCAGCAGCUUUGGAGACGGACAUAGGCUCAGUUGCUGGUGUGGCCACCAGUGCAGCGCAGCAAGUCUCGGUGGUGAGGUGAACACAGAAGGCUGUACAUUCACAGUAGAAGAAUCAGAUACUUUGGGGAGAUGUAUAAGUAAGUAUUCAUGAAUGAUGGCUGGUUGGUUGAUACCUCAAUUCUUAACUUUGGGCAGAGUAGCAUGUUUGUAAAACAAUUUUACAGAGUGACUCAAUUGAGCUUUUU